AUUAUUUCCGUAAAUGUUCGGAUCUGAGUCACGUGAUAUGAUUUACCAAACCAAAAUAAUGGCGGACAAUACGAAAGGUGUGUCACGUAUACGAGAAAUAAAUUUUGAGAUUGGAAAAGGAAAAAGCGAAAAGUGGAAAGAAACUGUGAUUUAAUUCAAUCAAGGAUAUACUCCGGUAGUGAUUCAAAGCGAUGAAAAGUUCUAAAAAGGGUAAUUAAAACCAAAAGCGAUCGUGAAGUUGUUAUCUGAUUGACAGAAAUAAAUCAAUUUCAUCUUCAUCAUGUGUUGCAAUACAUCAAAGAUGACCUGGACUUCAGUGCAUAUGCAGAGGAGAGUAGCACUAAAGAAAGCCAAUAAAAUCCUUUUGGAGUUGAAUUGAGACACAACCAUUCAUUUCUGGUUUAGUUAUAAAACUGCUACAGACUAUAAACUAUUCAUGAUGAUGGAAUACACCAAUGCCUUGUACAAUCAUGGCCCAUUAGAAACCAGAACAAACCAUGGCUGCAAAGGAAAUAAGAUGCACAUAGUCUGAAAGAUCUGGCUGGUGUUCUGAAUAAGAUGACAUAAUAUCUCAACUGCAGAAGUACAUCUGGCAUGUAGGGGUUUCACCAGCACAUCUUGAUGUAUUGUACCAAAAGAUUUGCUUACACACCACCUGUUUAUAGGAUGCACACUCUUCUUGCAGCCAUAGAUUAUAAUAUACAUGCAAAUAGACCACACAUCACCAACAAGGGGGAUCUGUUAGACUUCAGCGAGUCUGGAUGAAUUAAAGAAGAAGAAAAAAGUAUCAUCAUACCAUUUUUCAUGAUGCUAUAACUCUGAGAAUUAGUGACAGGGAGGGGAUAUAUAAAAUAGAAAGUUAGAGAAAGAUGACCCCCACAGACUUUCAAAAUAUUUGGCCCAAGUUAGCCCGAAGCCUACCCGAGCCAUUCACGAGGAACAUAAAUCAAGAUAUGAUUGACUUUUUAUGGAAAAGAAUGAUAAAUAGUGUGUUACACUGAUUGCCCAACUAUUCAAACAUAUUUAAGCUGACAUUGAACACCUGGUAUUCAUGAUAGUUUUAUGAAAUAUCUUUUUAGAUAUGGCACUGUAUCUAUCUUGUUUCGAAAAAAACUCUCUUGAUUCAUUUGUCAUGACUCAAGGUCUGUUUUUAAUAUUUUGUCAGAAAAAUGACUACUUUUUAUACAAGUGCAAAAUAUUAUCCAAUCUAUUAAACUAUAAGUGCUGCUAUGAGCUUUAAUGUAGUAACAAAGUUAAAAGUAUUAUUCAAUUAUAUCUUUUGAUAUACAUGUACUAUGUCAUUCACUUUAGCUCAGCUUUUCUUUUUUUUUUUCUUCUUUUUUGAAAAAAUAAAUAGAGGUUGCUGCCGUUGCCUUCUGCAAACUUGAACCUUGUUCAUAACUUUUAAAGUUCUUGGUGUAUUGUCUAACCUUGGCCUUCAUUCAUAAUUGACCUUGACCUUCAAGGUUAAAUGUCUAAAUUUUGGCUUUGCUUGUUAUUUGCUAUUAGUGGCUUUAACUUUAUUGCCCUUUGUUAAUUUUCAUAUUUCAUUUUUGUCUUGGCCAUUUCUCCUAAACUAUAUUGUUCACAAGGCAACACAUCCGACUCGCGGAGAUCUAGUUGUUAUUAGUCCAUGAAUUGUUUGUAGUCCAAUCUAGUUUAUUAGACCAAUGACACAGGGGCAUUUUAUAUAACAUCCUUGUUCAAUCAAACAAGGCAAGCCUUAAAAUUAUCUUUGUAUUUACUCCCUCAUCCCAUUCCAGUUUAGAUAGGUUAGGUGGGCUGACAAAAUAUUUAUUUUUGUGCCCCCACUUUAGUGGCGGGCAAAAGCCGGGCAUUUAGAUUUACCCUUGUCCGUCCGUCCGUAUUUCACCUAGAGUCAUGAAACUUUACUGUAAUGUUGAUCAGCAAGUGUAGUUGUUCACCUUGGUAUUUUCAUCUGGAUAUUUUUAGUAUUUUCAGAGUUACUGCCAUUGAAUUUUUUGCAAUUUUCAACUUGUGUCACAUGUUACUCAAGAAGUAUUUGACCUACAGCAAUGAAACUUUACAGGAAUGUUGAACAUUAUGUGUAGUUGUGUACCUGGGUAUUUUCGUCUGGAUUUAGUAUUUUGAGAGUUAUGGCCCUUGAUUUAGUAAAAUUUUGCAAUUUUCAACUUGUGUCGCAUGUAACUCAAAAAGUAUUUGACUUAGAGUAAUGAAACUUUACAGGAAUGUUGAUCAGCAUGUGUAGUUGCGCAUCUGGGUAUUUUCAUCUGGAAUUAUUUAGGAUUUUUAGAGUUAUUGCCAUUGACUUGGUAAAAUUUUGCAGUUUUCAACUUGUGUCACAUGUACAUUUAACUCAAAAAGGAUUUGACAUAGAGUCAUUAAACCUUAUGGGAAGGUUGCUCAGCAUAUUUAGUUUUGCAGCUGGGGUUUGGCUUGUGGAUUUAUCCAGUAUUUGUAGAGUUAUUUCCCUUGACUUAGUAAAAAACGUUUCAUUAUGUUGUUAUUUGUUCCUUGAGUGCUUGAGUGAGAAUCAACCAACUUUACAGGAAUAAUGAUCAACAUCCCUAAAUUACAGGAAUAAUGAUUUACAUCACUGUGAAGCUAUGAACCUGGGACUUUCAUGUGGAUUUUUUCCAGUUUUGUUAGAGUUAUUGCCCUGUACUUACAGUAGUAUAAAUUUACAAUUUUCAACUUGUUCAUGCAUAGCUCAAAAAGUAUUUAUGUUUUCUUUCAUUUCAUUCAGCCAAACAUAAAUAAUUUAUCAUUUAACUCCAUAAUUAAUAUCCUACAGGGAUAAAAUAUAAAUAAGAAAGACAAUAUAGGAGUGGCUACUACAGGUUCACUUUAAUUUAUCGAAUAAUUUACAAUUUUCAACUUGUUCAUGCAUAGCUCAAAAAGUAUUUCACUAGUAGGCCUGAAUGUUUAAAAGAAUGUUGGUCAGCAUGUUUACUUAUGCACCUUGGGGUUUACUUGUGAAUUUAUUCAGUAUUUGUAAAGUUCUUGCCCUUUACUUAGUAAAAGAUUUUAAGUUUUCAAAAAAUAUUUGACCUAGAGUCAUAAGAUUGACAAAACAGUGGCGCGUAGGGGGGACCCGUGUCCUCUGGACACAUUCCUAGUUAUUCAAAAUGUUUGUCUUGUUUUAUUUUUCAUUAAAAUUAUAUAAUGUAGUUCAAACAAAUUGUGAAUGCAUGAAAGCAUCUGUUUUACUUGAAAAUUUAGAACCAUAUUUUCAGUUUCAAUCAACAAAUAUCCCAACAUUUGUAUAUUUACAAUUAAAAAAUCACGAGACAGUUAAAAAGAUGUCAUUCUCAUUGACACUCUGAUUUCAUUUUUAGUAAACAAAUCCUGGGCAAUAAGAUAUUUUAGGUAGCUGUGCUAUUUGUAGGUAGGUCGCGGGAGUGGGGAACAAACAUUAUUUUACAUUCAGGGGUAAGCCUAAGUUUUUAGGCUUGGUAGGAACAUUGCCCUUCCCCAGAUAAUGGCACCAACUGAUUUUGAGGUAAUUAGAUUUAAAGCUCAAGAUGGCAUAAAGUUUAACUUCCUUUAAAUAUGUGUAACAUUGUAAGAUAUAGUUUAUGUAACUCAGAAGGAAAAAUUCUGAUUGCCAUUAGUUUUAAGAUUGGUCCAUUUGAUUAUAAGUUCAAGGUCUCAGUGACAUGUAAACUCAUUGUCCCAAGGUUUUGAACAUUUCCAGGGACAUUGCUUAGAUUAGUAAUUAAGCAUUAGUUUGGAGUUAGUAAGGUCUAAGGUCACAAUGGCUUAAGCAUAAUAUCCUUCAUCACCAGAAACCCAUAAGGGGUUAGCUCAAGUUCAUACAAUUUGGUUGGAAUUAAGAUAUUAAUUAUUUAUUUCCUUCUACAAUAUUGGCCAUCUUCACACUUUCUCUUCCUGUUAAGACAGCAUGGAUUGAAUAAAAAAUAAAACUAUAACUGUAAAGAAGUCACUGGUGUACAAUUUUAAGAGUAAGAAAAAGAAGAUAUGCUGUUCAUUUGAAAAUAUUUUAUUGUUGUUUUACUGCCAAUGUUCAAAUACAUGUUUCAAUUUA